rnacentral:rRNA from 1 species
AAACCGGAGGAAGGUGGGGAUGACGUCAAGUCCUCAUGGCCCUUAUGGUAGGGCUUCACACGUCAUACAAUGGUCGGUACAGAGGGUUGCCAAGCCGCGAGGUGGAGCCAAUCCCUUAAAGCCGAUCGUAGUCCGGAUCGUAGUCUGCAACUCGACUACGUGAAGUCGGAAUCGCUAGUAAUCGCAGAUCAGCAUGCUGCGGUGAAUACGUUCCCGGGUCUU